GGGCGAGGCUAGGUGGGGUGGGGCGUGGCGGGGCAAGGCAAUGGGGGCAAGGCUAGGCGGGAUGAGUCGUGGCGAGGCGGGGCGAGACGAGGCGUGGCAGGCCGGGUAGGGCAGGGCGGUGUGAGGGGAAGCGUGGCGGGGCAAGGUGGGGCAAGGUGGAACCAGUUGGGGCGAGGCGAGGCGUGGCAGGUGAGGCAGGGCGAGGCAGGGUGGUUCUAUGCAUUGUAAGGCGGGAGAGACGGGGCGAGGUGGGGUGAGGCAGGGCGAUGCAUGGCAGGCGAGGCGGGGCAGGGUGGGGUGAGGCGAAGCAGGGUGGGGCGAGGCAAGG
ensembl:lncRNA